rnacentral:tRNA from 1 species
GUCAAUAUAGUAAUUGUUCAAAUUUUUAACAAGGCAAAUUGUCCCCUUGCCAUACUUUUGUUAUAAUUCAGGGAUCAGAAAGUUUGUAUUUUUAAAUUGAACGAUCCAGCCAUUUUUAGUAUAUUCACAAAAUGUGCAGCCUCCACAAUCAUCUAAUUCCAGAACAUUUUUAUCUCCAAAAAAUAAACCCCCGUACCCAGUAGCCGGCUUUCCCCAUCUCCUCCAGCUCCCAGCAAUCAUUAACCCAUGGCCUCGGGAGAUUUGCCUGUUGAGGACACUUUAAUAAGUGAACUCAUGCAGCCCAUGGCAUUUCCGGGCUCCUCCACGCUGCGGCCGUGUGGACGCCACACCUCUGUAUGAUUCGCUAGUGUUCACCAUGUGCUAUUCCACCUGCGUUUAUCCAUCCAUCAGAUGGACCUUGGUUGUUUCCAUUACUGGGCCAUCUUGCUCAGUAUCCUGCUAGGAGCAUCCAUGUGUGUGACAUGGGGACAUGUUUCAAUCUUCUGGGUGUGGACGUGCUGGGUAGAUAUGAAGCGCUCCCAAGCUGUUCUCCAAAAUGGCUCCAUGUCACGUUUGCCACCAGCAGUGUGAGUUGUCAUUUCUCCACACCCUUGUCAACACACUGGUGUCCACCUUCUCAAGUCCAGCCAUCCUAGUGGGAUGAAGGAUUUCAUCAUGGGUUUGGUUUACAUUCCCCUAAUGAUUAAAAAUGGUAACAAUUUUUCUUUGUUCAUGACAUGGUUUGCAUAUGCUUCCAGUGUGUCCCUGGGUUGGAGGCUUGGUCCCCAGUUUGGCGACACUGGUGGAUGGAGGAACCAUUAAGAGAUAAUGCCUAGUACAGGUCACUAGGUCAUUGGAGCCACUGCCCUUGGAAGGAAUUGAAUUAAUUUCAUGUUCUCUUGGCACCCUCAUUAGUUCUUAAAAUAAGGUUAUUAGAAAAGAGCAGGACUGGCCCCUCCCUCUGUCUGGCUUCCUGUCUUGCUAGGCGAUGGCUCUGCUUCAAGCACACCUGCUACUGUGACGCCAUCUGCCAGAAGAUCCUCACCUGAGCCAAACUGAGGACAGUGCUGUGUUCUGAACCUCCAAAACCGAGUGCUAAGCGAAUCUCUUCUUUUCUUUACCAAAUAUCCAACCUUGAGUAUUUUGUUACAGCCAUGGAAAAUGAACAGAUGUUUUAUGAGUCAUUUGUGUGACUUUUUUUUUUUAAAGAGAGAGAGAGAGAGAGAGAGAGAGAGAGAGAUGUGUGUGACUUCUUUGAAGAAAUGUCCAUUCAGAUUCUUUGCCCAUUUUUUAAUUGGGUUAUCUUUUUGAGUUGUAAGAAUUCUUCAUAUUUUCUGGAUACGAGAUCCUAAUCAAUAAUCCACACUAUUUAGAACAAUUCCAUCAUCCCCAAAAGAUCCUGUUUGCAUCAAUUCCCUUUCGCCCCCAGCACUAGAUCACUAAAAUGUGUUGUGUGUUUUGGACAUGUCCUUUUCCCUAAUGAAAACUUGUCAUCUAAUAUUAUGAGAUCACAGGAGACGUUCCUCUGCCUUUUAGAAGCCCUCGGCUUAGCUUCUAGUCUGUCAUGUGCAGCUCUGGAGUUCAGGAAAAAAAAAAAAAAAACAGAAAACUGCACAACUGUAAGAAAAUCAGCUUUACAUCCGGGUGUCCUGGGUUUCCAAUGUGCCCUUCUGGGUGGGCCAAAACCCAGUUCUGGGCCCAGAAUCCACUGGGGAGAAACCAGCCCGGCCACAAGGAGGGCCUGCCUUUCUGCAUUUGGACCCAGGGAGUCUCCCCUGCUUAGGUGGUGUUCUGGUGCAUGUUAUUGUGUUGUCUGAACCCAGGCCCCCUGCGCUGUGUUGCAGUACACUGUGCUGCUGUGGCCUCCCAUGUCCUGCCCAUCAAUUUAUUCUUUAAUAAAUCCUUGCAUCUUAUCAGACGGGCUUCCUUUCUCACCCACUCCCACGUGUGGGCUAUCUGGGGGCAAAACAUUGUUGAGGUUUUGUUGGAAAAUAGUUUGGGUUUGAAAUGUCUCCCCAAAGACCAUGUGUUAAAGGCGUGGUUGCAAGCCUGUGGGAGGUGAUGGAAACCUUAGGACAUAUGCCCUUAAAGGGGACACUGGGGCCCCCAGCCCCUUCCUCUCCUUGCUCACCAGGCGCCAUAAGGUGAAGAGGCCUCCUUUGCCACAUGCUGCCACAGGCCCAAAGCAACAGGGUCAAGCAAUCACAGGCUGAAAGCACUGAAAUCAUGCGCCAAAAUAAGCCUUUCAUUUAUGAGUUGUUUAUGUUACAUUUUGUCCCCGUGAUAGAAAGCGAACUGAGAUUCUUUUGCUUUUUGAGUUCUCCAACCAUGAACAUGGUAUACCUGUCCAGGGAGCAGAGUUCUGUUAGGCCUUUCAAUAUUUGGUGAUUUUCUCUAUAAAGGAAGUGUACAUCCUUUGUCAGAUUUGAUCCUAAAUAGCUUAGGGUUUAGUGUCUUUUCAAUCCUUUGAAGCACUUUGUUUUUCAGAACAAGUAAUAAAUUCACAAAUCUCUAAAAGCUCUAAGAGGCACUCACAUGCUGUUUUUUCUCCAUCAUCUAGGUUUCCUUCAGAAGAAAUCAGUGUUACCAACUUUAACUGUUAAUGUGGCUAACAUUAGUAUAUAGUGACUCUAUUACUGUAUGUAAUAGGACUUUUGUUCCUCAGUAUUGCAUAUAAAAAUCCAGUUGAAUUCUUAGUAUUCCUAACCUAACAAUCUGUAGGUCAUUUUGGGUUUUACACAUACACACAUAUGCCUGCAUAGGGGAGUCAUUUUGUCACGUCUUUCUCAUUCCUUAUUCUGUUACUGUCUUAUUGUGCUGGCUAAGAUGUCUCUAGAUGAAAUAGCUAUGAAAUGUAGUUUAGCUGUAGCUGUAAUUGACAUGGGGCAACUCUUAUCCCUAACUUUAAUGAGAAAUCUUCUUUACAUGACAUUUGCGGUAGGUUCUUGGUUGGAGUCGUCAUCUUGUUAAAAUACUGGUCCUAUUUUGAUAAUCAAGUACCAUGACAGCUUUUUAAAACAUUUUUAAAUAUACUUAUUUUAUUUAUUUUUAUGUGGUGCUGAGGAUCGAACCCAGGGCCUCUCACAUGCAAGGCGAGCGCUCUACCGCUGAGCCACAACUCCAGCCCCUCAUGAAAGUUUUUAACGAAUUAUUUUCCACACCUACUGAGUUGAUCAUAUGGAUUUUAUUUUCCUUUAACUUAUUAAAUGUGCUGAAUUGCACAUUCACAGAAAAAAAUAGUCUCAAAAAUACUUCUACCCCAAGUUUUUAAAUAUUCUCAUGAGGGAGAAAAAAAGAAUACUGUAUGAUAGUGAAAAUAUAUUUUAUUUUUUGAAUAUAAUAGCUGCCAGCAAUAUACUGGUGUUGAUGUUCCAGAGAGAGAAAAGAAAAUACAAGCACUCAAUAAUAAGCUUUCAUUUGCCUACUCAGGAAAUUCUAAAGAAAAUACUCCAAAUUCUGUUUAACAUUAUGACUUGGGGAGUUUUGUUUUUCUCCCUUGAUAAAAAUAUAAUUUUGGAUGCCCCAACCUUGAUAAUCUGUAAAGGAUGGAAUUUUUAAAGCCUAUAAAUAUCAACAAUGAAUGCUUCCCUCUCUUUGAAUUAAAUAUUGAUUAUAACCAGUGUAAGAAAUUGGUGAAUCAAUUAGGUUGAUGAAAUGUGUAUCAAAAUGUUCAUGAAAAAAAUAAUUUCUAUUUCCUCUCAUUUUUACUUUGUAGAUACUUUCUAAAUGGGUUUUUCUUUAAUGCACAGAAAUUUAAAAACUAUCUGCAUGCAACUCUGGAGAGGCUCAAAACUCAACAGAAAUAACUCAACAGAAAUAAAAAUGUCUAAAUUCUAGAACUGAUCCACUCAGUGUAAGAAUAAACAUCAGAAAUCUCUUAAUUGUACACGGAUUGUUCAAAGGGUUAGAGUUGUGAAAGCCAAAGUUACCAAAAAAAUAAAACCUUAUCUGAAUUUUACUGAAAAUUUGAAUCUAAAUUUAAAAAAAAGGAAGUCUAUAACUGGAAUAGUACAGAGCUUCCCAACUGUUUAAUAAAUUUCUCAGUGUCCCUUGGAAAAUAGUGAGACUGUCAUUCAGACUGCAAUCUCCUCAAAGAAGUAUAACAAAAUUAAGAGGAAUUACUUUUUAGCUGUAGAAAUAAAAUCAGAUGAUUUCCAUACAUCAAGCCAAAUACUACAUGAAUUGCCAAGAACAUUGUUAUGUCCCAAGUCUCUCAAGACUGAGCUAGGCUCCCUCCCCAGACACAGGAUGGAGUAAAAACUUGUGCGGGCUCUUACCAGCCGUGAUGUAGUUGCCACUCAAUCAUGUCUGACUAACUUCCUUGGUAGAAAAAUAAAAUCAGUCUUUCUACAGAGAAAAAUAAUUCUGCCUUCAUCAAAGUCAGAGAAGACUGGCCUUUCUUGGACAGGCGGAGAGAGCCGAGUGGAAUCACUGGGGAAUAAAAACAACGGAGAGAACAGAUGCCCACAGGGAGCUGUUUCUGAGGGGCUCUUGGUCACCUCUGUCUCAGGACGGCAGUGCUGUCCUCUGGGCACCCGACUCUGUCUGCCUGGCCCACCAUUCUCUGAAAGAACAGACACCCUUCUCUUAAAUCUCUCUCGCGCUUUAAGCUAAUAGGUGUGGUUCAGUAUCACCCAGAGGCCACAUUGUCAUGUUUAAAAUGUGAAGACUGCAGGGUGCUGAGGCCUGCUGUGCCCUGGUGCAGAUGGGACACCUGCACCCACCAAAACCACUGCAACCCAGACUCUCGAUGGGAGCUGGACAGUACUUCUUUCUGGAACCAGGUAAAUCAUCCAAGACGGGGGCUUAGACUUUUGAUCAGCAAUAGGAGCACUGUGAAAGGUAAGGUAAAGGAAUCUCCCUGAGCCAAAUGGAUAUAAUAUGGAGCUUUUUCUUAUCUUCCUAUACUAAGCUAAUUACUGACAGGUUAAAGAAUGCAGUUGUGCUUAUAAAAGUCAGGCUGCUUCCAUAAAACCAGUGCUUACUAAAUGUCACCGUAUCAAAGGGGAGAAAACAUUGCCAUCUUAAAGCAAUAUUCUUAAAAUCCUUAAAGCAAAUUAAAAAAUAAAAAUAAAAAAGAAAGAAAGAAGAGCCCAUGGGAAUAGCACAUCUUAAACAAGUUAGGUACACAAAUGUUAUUACAGUCACAGCCACAGUCUUUGGAGCAGUACUAAGAAAGUCCACCUUGGUUUUGUUUUGCUUUGAAUAAAUGAAUAAAACACAUAGCAAACUUUUGUUCCACUUUCACCAAGUUCAUUCUUGUUAGAGCACAAAUAAUUUCUAAUUUAGGACUUCCAAUUUAAAUAACAAAGUCAAAAGCCCACACCUAGAGUGCUAUUCCUCAAUUAAUGCAACUGCAUAAAAAUCUAACUCAAGGAAGCACAGAGACUGAGAUCAGGCCAAGUGGGUGAACACACCCUCACCCUAACAUUCAACCUGUCUACACAGAGCAAACCACCUUCUGUGUAAAGCCCCACAGUAAAUGGGUGGUGCGAGAGUUGGUAAUGUGUGCUUUAUGGGUCUCAAAACAGAAUGGAUAAUGCACUCUCCAGAUUUAAUCUACAUUAAAUAUGCUUUAGAAACAAAAUAUACUUGACAUUUUGACAAACCCACUCUACAUUCUUUAGACUAACUUCUGUACUCAUUAACUUUUACAUUUCUAAUCACUGCACGGCUAGAGCUACGUCAGCUAUGUGUCAGUGUAUGUAGUGCUCAAAAAUAUCUACAGACAGCAGGGCGUUACCUAAAAAGGAGCUUUUUAAAAUAAAGAAGGUGAUACUCUUCCAAAUGAAUGGCACUGGGCAAAACACACACAACCAACAACACAUUUAGAGUGUCAGGUGCCCAUCAGUUUCUCUUCUAAGGACAAAAUGCUUGCGAUCUUGAGAAUACCAUCCCUCCCUCUAAACUUUCACCUUCCACAUAGUGUCAGAUGUUAAAAUUUGUAUGAAGGAUAAAUGAUUUUAGACAAAACUAAAAAUCUAUCUACAAAAGAACAGCAGGAUUUGUAGUGACUUUCUGUAGCAGGCGCUCUUCUCUGGGGGUGGUGUCUUUCAGGAUGUAUCUAGGAUAGACUCAACUGAAAGUAUUUCUGAUACAGUAGCAAUCCUUUCAUAUACUCUUACUAAAUAUUACAAAAUUCCAAAAAAUACAUAAAUACUUCAUGUACCACGUAUUAUGCACCAGCUUGCGGCUGACGGAUGUCACGGCUACUAUCUUAACAGUUACACACUGCACCUCAAAAGUUCUGCCAUCUAUGCACAGAAUGGUGAGGACUCCAGAGAGAUGGCACACUGCCUCUCACAUGGAGGGUUGUGACGGAGUGUUUCCAAGUUAGAGGACAGGAGGACACCACUGGUAGGGAAGGCAGGCAGGGUGGGAGGAUUGUAAAAUAAUACUGCUUAGGAGUGUAUACUUUAAGAUAACUACUAUACCUUGUCUAUCCUUGACCCUAAUCUUGAAUAACUGCAUGUUCAUGCAAAACACAUUUCUACUUUAUAGGAAGAUGAGCAGUCUGUUAGGAAAAGCGUAUUCUUAGGGGAAGAUCUGAAGACAUCUCUCUCGUAAGUGCUAUUUUAUUUGGUAAGUCUUUUGGCAACAUCACUGUAUGCUAUUUCAACCUCCUUAUCACUGGGACAGGUAUUGGUAAACUCAUCCCGACUAUAGGCAUUAGUUAGGUAUCUCCAGAUGCCAGUCAUUCCUUUUGGAAUAUCAAAGUUGCGAUAUUUUUUGGCCACCACCUGAAAUACAAAGAGAUCCAAAGUUAACAUACAUUUUCCAUGUCUCAUAAAGUAGACACGUCUGAUUUUAGAGCACAUUAUUAAGUCUCUGUCACCAUCAUUCUAAUUAGACUUUUAAAUAAUGACUAAGACUGCAAGCUACACCAGGGACUCAGAAAUGUAAUAGCGACUAUAAAUGCGCACUAGGGCCCCCAGAGACAGAGCUAAGUCUAACCCACUGGGUAAAUGCUUUUAAAACACGUGCUACUUAGAUUUGUUCUUCUAUCUUAGAGCUUUAUACACAACCAGCGCUCCUCACUGUUCUGUCUAGCACAGUGUCUCCCAUCAGACACACUCAGUAUUUUUUGACUGGAAUAGAAAAAGCCAGGUGAUCACAGAGCGGAAUUUGACAAGGGAAGCCAGUGUAGCAAACUCCAGUCAGACUUACCUAUUAUGUUUUUGAAUAUUUACUUAGAGAAAAGAAUAAGCAAAAUAUUCCUCUUUAUCAUAUGCCUCAAUUUUAAGACAUGUUUUCCAUUUCAUUAGCUCUGGGUAUUUCAGCUAUGCCUAAGCCGCAAUGAGUGACACUAUUUGGGGACUUCCUACUUGUAUGGAAGACCACCAGAAAAGCUUUAGGCAUAAAGGAAGUNCACGCUGCGGCCGUGUGGACGCCACACCUCUGUAUGAUUCGCUAGUGUUCACCAUGUGCUAUUCCACCUGCGUUUAUCCAUCCAUCAGAUGGACCUUGGUUGUUUCCAUUACUGGGCCAUCUUGCUCAGUAUCCUGCUAGGAGCAUCCAUGUGUGUGACAUGGGGACAUGUUUCAAUCUUCUGGGUGUGGACGUGCUGGGUAGAUAUGAAGCGCUCCCAAGCUGUUCUCCAAAAUGGCUCCAUGUCACGUUUGCCACCAGCAGUGUGAGUUGUCAUUUCUCCACACCCUUGUCAACACACUGGUGUCCACCUUCUCAAGUCCAGCCAUCCUAGUGGGAUGAAGGAUUUCAUCAUGGGUUUGGUUUACAUUCCCCUAAUGAUUAAAAAUGGUAACAAUUUUUCUUUGUUCAUGACAUGGUUUGCAUAUGCUUCCAGUGUGUCCCUGGGUUGGAGGCUUGGUCCCCAGUUUGGCGACACUGGUGGAUGGAGGAACCAUUAAGAGAUAAUGCCUAGUACAGG